rnacentral:lncRNA from 1 species
GGGACAUGGACUUCUUUCAGACACCAUGUUUCAUAUAUGGCACUCAGGAGGAAUCGUGUGAGAACCAGACAACUGCAUGACGAUGAAUCAAGCCAUGCAUGAGCUUAUCUUCCACUCCAAGCGUUUUACCUAAUAGUCAACCAAUAAACUUGUCCAUAUGCCAAGAAGGGUUUUCCGAUCCACAGGCACUAUAGUGUACUUGAUGAAAUUAACCAUUUUACCCUCACCAUAAGAAGCUUAAAAGCUAGAGAGAAACUUGGGUUCAGUCCGUUAUCUCCCAAAAUUUGUUUUAUCAAAAAAGGUUAUUAUUCACGCUAAGGUUGGCCUAAUGUAUUUUCUUGUAAAAAGUUGUGUAUUGAGAUAUAUCAAGCCAUAUGUGUAUGUUUGUUGAACUU